GCAGUAGGGNCAGGGUCGAGGGGCAUCGGGAGGGAAGCUUGCUUUCCUUGCCGGCGACCGGCGCACGGGUGAGUAACACGUAUGCAACCUGCCCUCUUCAGGGGGACAACCUUCCGAAAGGGAGGCUAAUCCCGCGUAUAUCGGUUUCGGGCAUCCGGGAUCGAGGAAAGAUUCAUCGGAAGAGGAUGGGCAUGCGGCGCAUUAGCUUGACGGCGGGGUAACGGCCCACCGUGGCGACGAUGCGUAGGGGUUCUGAGAGGAAGGUCCCCCACACUGGUACUGAGACACGGACCAGACUCCUACGGGAGGCAGCAGUGAGGAAUAUUGGUCAAUGGGAGAGAUCCUGAACCAGCCAAGCCGCGUGAGGGAAGACGGCCCUAUGGGUUGUAAACCUCUUUUGUCGGAGAACAAAACCCGGGACGUGUCCCGGACUGCGUGUAUCCGAAGAAAAAGCAUCGGCUAACUCCGUGCCAGCAGCCGCGGUAAUACGGAGGAUGCGAGCGUUAUCCGGAUUUAUUGGGUUUAAAGGGUGCGUAGGCGGUCCGUUAAGUCAGCGGUAAAAUUGCGGGGCUCAACCCCGUCGAGCCGUUGAAACUGGCAGACUUGAGUUGGCGAGAAGUACGCGGAAUGCGCGGUGUAGCGGUGAAAUGCAUAGAUAUCGCGCAGAACUCCGAUUGCGAAGGCAGCGUACCGGCGCCAGACUGACGCUGAGGCACGAAAGCGUGGGGAUCGAACAGGAUUAGAUACCCU
rnacentral:rRNA from 1 species